GACGAACGCUGGCGGCGUGCUUAACACAUGCAAGUGGAGCGACGAACCAGGCUUCGGCCUGGGGCAGAGCCGCGAACGGGUGAGUAACACGUGGGUAACCUGCCCCGAUAACUGGGACAACCCGGGGAAACCCGGGCUAAUACCGGAUGUGCUGCCCUCGCAUAGGCGAGUGCAGGAAAGGAAGCUUCGGCCUCCGUAUCGGGAUGGGCCCGCGGCCCAUUAGCUUGUUGGUGAGGUAACGGCUCACCAAGGCUGCGAUGGGUAGCUGGUCUGAGAGGACGAUCAGCCACACUGGGACUGAGACACGGCCCAGACUCCUACGGGAGGCAGCAGUGGGGAAUCUUGCGCAAUGCGCGAAAGCGUGACGCAGCAACGCCGCGUGGGGGAAGACGGCCUUCGGGUUGUAAACCCCUUUCAGGAGGGACGAAGCCCGGGCGGUUAAUAGCCGACCCGGGUGACGGUACCUCCAGAAGAAGCCCCGGCUAACUACGUGCCAGCAGCCGCCGUAAU
rnacentral:rRNA from 1 species